rnacentral:rRNA from 1 species
UCAGAGCGAACGUUAGCGGCGGGCCUAACACAUGCAAGUCGAACGCGAAAGGUCUUCGGACUGAGUAGAGUGGCGCACGGGCGAGUAACACGUAGGUAAUCUACCCUUUGGCGGGGGAUAACGUUCCGAAAGGAGCGCUAAUACCGCAUAAGACCACGGAGUCUCCGGACGCUGUGGGAAAAGGUGGCCUCUUCUUGAAAGCUACCACCGAAGGAUGAGCCUGCGUCCCAUCAGCUAGUUGGUAAGGUAAUGGCUUACCAAGGCGAAGACGGGUAGCUGGUUUGAGAGAAUGAUCAGCCACACUGGCACUGGAACACGGGCCAGACUCCUACGGGAGGCAGCAGUGAGGAAUAUUGGGCAAUGGGCGAAAGCCUGACCCAGCCACGCCGCGUGAGUGAUGAAGGCCCUCGGGUCGUAAAGCUCUGUGGAGAGGGACGAAAACCCUGGUUUCAAAUAGGCUCCAGGCUUGACGGUACCUCUUUAGCAAGCACCGGCUAACUCUGUG